rnacentral:rRNA from 1 species
GAUGAACGCUGGCGGCGUGCUUAACACAUGCAAGUCGAACGGAAAGGCCCUACUUUUGUGGGCUGCCCGAGUGCCGAACGCGUGAGUAACACGUGUGUAACCUGACCUUGUUUUUCGGAUAACUUCAGGUAACUAAGGCUAAUACCGGAUAGGAGAUCCCGCUGCAUGGUGGGGGUUGGAAAGUUUCGGCGGUUGGGGAUGGACUGGCGGCUUAUCAGCUUGUUGGUGGGGUAGUGGCUUACCCAGGGUGUGACGGGUAGGCGGCCUGAGAGGGUGACCGGCCACAUUGGUACUGCGAUACGGCGCAGACGCCUACGUUAGGCAACGGUGGGGAGUAUUGCACAGUGGGAGGGAGCCUGAGGCAACAACGCCGCGUGCGGGAAGACGGCCUGCUGGUAGUAAACCGCAGUCGCCUGAGACGAAGCGUGAGUGACGGUAAUGGGUAAAGAAGCACCGGCUAACUACGUG